UAUUUCUCUCCAUUUCAGUUUAAUAUUAUUUUUCAUUUUUCCUUAAUAUUCAUAAUUCAGUUUUCCCCCACACUUGGCACCCUACCCUCUACCCUCUGUCUUCAAUUCUUUCCACAAUUUUCGCUCCUUCCCUUUUUGCUGUCUCAAGUGAGAACAUAGGCACAUUUAUUUAACCCCACUGGAAAUCCUGUGUUUUUGUAGGAAAAGACUUGCUUUCUUGGCAGUGCUAAAAAUAAAGUAAUUACUGAAGGAAUGCAUGAUGGGGCCAGUUAGUAACCUGAUAAAUGGAACUUGGAUACAAAGCAGAGAUGAAUAAAAAGACUCACCUGGUCCAGGAUACUGGCUUAAAAUGAGCCCUGCAGCAAGGCUGACUUGAUUAUGAGCUCCAAACCAGGAGGCUUUUCUUUCCUCAGUCUAGGAGGCAGGAGUAAGCCUGACAGUGGCAAGAAAGUAUCCUCAAGAGUGGGCUAGGGAGGGAUGGGGUAAGUUGUGCUGGUAAGGACACCGUGGGAGCAGUGAGCCAGUACAUUCCAUUCUUACAUUUUUUGGCUUUAAAAAACGGAAGGACAGAGCUAUAUUACUCCAUUUCUAUUUUGUGAAAAAGUGUAAGCUUAAUAAUUUUAAAACUCAAGGCUACGUUUGAUUUUUCCAAAGCACAAUUAAAUAAAAAAUAGCUCCCUCAGUGGCUCAUACCUAUAAGAAGCCAAAUGGUUUGGAUAAAAAUACUAUUCCCAAGUCACCAGCAUCAGCCUGUAUAAAUAAAAUUAUUAGGACAGGCAAAGCAAUUCAGAGGAAAGAGCAUCGCUUGGGGGUAAAAUGUUUAAAGAAUACUGUGAAUUUCACUGUCACAAAUUCAAAUAAAGUGAGAGUGGAAUUCACAGUAUUUAAGGAAUCAAUCCUUGCUGCUUCUGUUUAUGAAGCCGAGCUUCAGUUUUCUUGCUCUGACAAUGGACACAGUGAUUACCUCAAGGGUUGCUGUAGGAGUUAGAUGAGAUAUCUAUAAUGUAGGAAAGGUGUUUACUACAAUGUAACUCAUGGAUAGGGGCCUAUAUUGGUUUUCCAUUGCUGUGUAACAAAUUUCCAUAAACUUAGUGGCUUAAAACAACAGACAUUUAUUAUCUUUCAUUUCUGUCAGAGGUCCAGGCAACUGAGUGGUUGAUAUCUCUGUUCAGGGUCUCACGAGGCUGAAAUCAAGGUGUCAGUUAGCUGCAUUCCCCUCUAGAGACUUGACUAGGGAAGGAUUCUUUUCCAAAUUCCUUCAAGUUGUUGGUAGAAGUGUUUCUUGCUAGCUUCAAUUAGGGAUGGAUCUCAGCAACUAGUGACCACUCUCAAGUCUUUAUUAUAUGGCCCCUUUUAUACUCAAAACCAGCAACAGAGAAUUCCCCCUCACAUCAAAUCCCUCUCACACUUUCAAUCUCUAUGACUCAGAAACGGGCUCACCUGGCUAGGUCAGACCCACCAGAAUAUUCUCCAUUUUGGCUAGCUCACAGUCGCCUGAUGAGCAAUGUAAUCAUAGCAGUGGUAUCAUACACACAGGUCUGCCUGCACUCAAAGGAGAGUGAUUAUCAAGGAAUGCACACCAGGGGCGGCAGGAAUCUGGCAGCUAUCUUAGAAUUCUGCCUGCCACCAUUUCCAUUAAGUGAUUGUUGUUGUUUGUUACUGAGGCAUAGAUGAAGUAGCACUUAUGCAGGAAAAAAACCACUAGUCAAUCAGAAUUUCAAGUUGUAUGAUGAGGUAUUCCAUAGAAAUUAAACAUGCGUAUAACAGAUUCUCAUAGGUCAGGACACAUGAAAAAUUUAAGGAAAGGAUGAGGACUCCUUAAUUUAGAGGGACUUCUGAAAGGUGACUUAAUGAUGACCCAACACUAUAUGUGAAAUCAUGUUUGGCUUCAAAAGCACUGUGGGCAGAAAAGGAGAAAACGUUUAAUCUAGAGUACACAGUUAUGGCAUUAUCUGGAGGGAAGGAUAAAGCUACAAAGAUUGUUAAAACUAAAAUUUGUUGCCAAGGGAGCCAUUCGAGCUCUGUCUGGAGAUCUUCUAAAUGAGAGUAAAUUAUUCUGUACUUGAGGUGGUUUGGGCACUGUCCUCCCUGAAGCCAAUGUAGAGAUAAAGUGUUGUUUUCACUCCUUCUAGUCCUGUGAUUCUGCGUCUAAGGAGGCAAACCACCUAUUGAAUCAGUGCUCACCACAGGCUCCAUUGCAGCAUUGAACUGUGUCUGUGAGAAAGAAUAAGGUUAAGUCAGGAUUCCUUGAUUAAGACGAG
rnacentral:lncRNA from 1 species